rnacentral:rRNA from 1 species
GUACAGAGAAGUCAUUGAUGCCCGGCUUCCAGGAAAAGCUGCUAGCCAUAACUUAUAGAGAACCGUACCGCAAACCGACACAGGUGGACAGGUAGAGAAUACUAAGGCGCUUGAGAGAACUCGGGUGAAGGAACUAGGCAAAAUGGUACCGUAACUUCGGGAGAAGGUACGCCCUUUUGGGUGAGGGCAUUUACUGUCUGAGCUUAAGAGGGCCGCAGAGACCAGGUGGCUGCGACUGUUUAUUAAAAACACAGCACUCUGCAAAUUCGUAAGAAGACGUAUAGGGUGUGACGCCUGCCCGGUGCCGGAAGGUUAAUUGAUGGGGUUAUCUUCGGAGAAGCUCUUGAUCGAAGCCCCGGUAAACGGCGGCCGUAACUAUAACGGUCCUAAGGUAGCGAAAUUCCUUGUCGGGUAAGUUCCGACCUGCACGAAUGGCGUAACGAUGGCCACACUGUCUCCACCCGAGACUCAGUGAAAUUGAAAUCGCUGUGAAGAUGCAGUGUACCCGCGGCUAGACGGAAAGACCCCGUGAACCUUUACUAUAGUUUUGCACUGGACUUUGAUGAUGACUGUGUAGGAUAGGUGGGAGGCUGUGAAGUGAGGACGCUAGUUCUCAUGGAGCCGCCCUUGAAAUACCACCCUGUUGUUAUUGAGGUUCUAACUUGGUCCAGUAAUCCUGGAUGAGGACAGUGUAUGAUGGGUAGUUUGACUGGGGCGGUCUCCUCCCAAAGAGUAACGGAGGAGCACAAAGGUACCCUCGGUACGGUCGGACAUCGUACCAAGAGUGUAAAGGCAAAAGGGUGCUUGACUGCGAGAGUGACGGCUCGAGCAGGAACGAAAGUUGGUCUUAGUGAUCCGGUGGUUCUGAAUGGAAGGGCCAUCGCUCAACGGAUAAAAGGUACUCCGGGGAUAACAGGCUGAUACCGCCCAAGAGUUCAUAUCGACGGCGGUGUUUGGCACCUCGAUGUCGGCUCAUCACAUCCUGGGGCUGAAGCAGGUCCCAAGGGUAUGGCUGUUCGCCAUUUAAAGUGGUACGCGAGCUGGGUUUAGAACGUCGUGAGACAGUUCGGUCCCUAUCUGCCGUGGGCGUAGGAAAAUUGAGAGGAGCUGCUCCUAGUACGAGAGGACCGGAGUGGACGAACCUCUGGUGCACCGGUUGUCACGCCAGUGGCAUGGCCGGGUAGCUAAGUUCGGACGGGAUAACCGCUGAAAGCAUCUAAGCGGGAAGCCUCCCUCAAGAUGAGUUUUCCCAUGAAGCCCGUUGAAGACUACGACGUUGAUAGGCAAGGUGUGGAAGCGCAGUAAUGCGUGAAGCUAACUUGUACUAAUUGGCUGAUUGUCUUGACCAUAUAAUCUGAG